AUGGACUACUGGGGUUUCUAAUCCUGUUCGCUCCCCACGCUUUCGCGUCUCAGCGUCAGUACCGUUCCAGAGAGCCGCCUUCGCCACCGGUGUUCUUCCUAAUAUCUGCGCAUUUCACCGCUACACUAGGAAUUCCGCUCUCCCCUCCCGGACUCAAGCGAGGCAGUAUCCAGUGCAGGCUUGGGGUUGAGCCCCAAGGUUUCACACCGGACUUACCAAGCCGCCUACACGCGCUUUACGCCCAAUGAUUCCGGACAACGCUCGCCCCCUACGUAUUACCGCGGCGGCUGGCACCA
rnacentral:misc_RNA from 1 species